rnacentral:lncRNA from 1 species
UGAAAAGAAAGGAAGAAAGGAAGAGGAACUGGCUGGCAUGUUGUGAAACCUUCUCAAGUUAUUGGAAAUAAAUUACCUGGUCCUUUGAAAAAUCUGCUUCUCCAGCAGUGAUUAUGCUAGAAAUUCAGAAUACACAAGUAUACUUGAGUAGAUUCUAGCAAUUCUUCAAGAGGCAGCUGCAUGUCUGAGGCAACAUUCCCAUAGAAAUCACUGGAUUUGCCCUGCAGUAAGAGUCCAGCCAACUUUCAUGGA